GACAGAGGGUGCAAACGUUGUUCGGAUUUACUGGGCGUAAAGCGCGUGUAGGCGGCUUUGCAAGUCGGAUGUGAAAGCCCACGGCUCAACCGUGGAGGUGCAUCCGAAACUGCAUGGCUGGAGUCUCGGAGAGGAAGGUGGAAUGCUUGGUGUAGAGGUGAAAUUCGUAGAUAUCAAGCAGAACACCUGCGGCGAAGGCGGCCUUCUGGACGAUGACUGACGCUGAGACGCGAAAGCGUGGGGAGCAAACAGG
rnacentral:rRNA from 1 species